rnacentral:rRNA from 1 species
UACGGAGGAUCCGAGCGUUAUCCGGAUUUAUUGGGUUUAAAGGGUGCGUAGGCGGCUUUUUAAGUCAGGGGUGAAAGACGGUGGCUUAACCAUCGCAGUGCCCUUGAUACUGAAGAGCUUGAAUAGACCUGAGGUAGGCGGAAUGUGACAAGUAGCGGUGAAAUGCAUAGAUAUGUCACAGAACACCAAUUGCGAAGGCAGCUUACUAAAGUGUAAUUGACGCUGAGGCACGAAAGCGUGGGGAUCAAACAGG